rnacentral:lncRNA from 7 species
ACUUCUGCAUUUGGUAAUCUUCUAAUACCAGUCCUAUUUGGCCACCGUGCUAGAUAAAACUUCUUUAAGGCACCUGAGAGAGAGAGGGAAAGAACACCUCCAGAGAGCAGCCUGCUGAUAGAACGUACUUCUAACAAUAUGUGAGAGAGCAGCAAGUUAUCAGACAUAGGGACAGAAGGGGAAGAUGAAGAUAGCCUUCUUGUUCCAUAAGAAGUGGGAGGUGAUGCGGGAAAGAAGACAGAAAAGCUGAUUCGGGAAGAUAACACAGCAGUUUACAACAUGGAGGACAAGAAAUCCUUGAAGCUUUGUAAUUGUUUUAGUAUAUAUUUUUCAAUCAAAGUUCCUGCACUUCUGAAAACGUCUGGACUGUUUUGAAAGACAUACUGUGAAAUAAAAAGUUGGCUGAGUUGGCUGGAUCUAACCUGGACUGCGAUCCUAUUCACUAGGAAGCCAAAUUAUUGUGCUUGCCUGUCCAUGGAAGCAGUGGUAGAUCUUUUGGCCCAUGAGUUCUUCAUAUUCCUACAGAUUAAAAGCAUGAAAGAGCGCAGAGAAACACAGGAAAGCUUGUCUCUGCAGUCAGGCGACGAUGAGGACAUGAAGAUGUAUAACUGUCCCAGGUGUGAGAACAGCACAGUUUACCCCCUCAGGACUUGUAACAGGCUUGCCUGAAGGAGAGUGAAAUAGGGAUUAUGUGUCCUUAUGCAACUCCAAGAUUUCCUGCCCAGAACCACUGCUGUGCCUCAAAAUACUUCGCCAAGCAGUAGAGCCAUUUUUAAAAUGAUGGAAACAUUUGUAACUUUGGAGUUCCCCUGUAUUGCACUUUCAUUUCAUCCUGUGCAAAGUAGUAGUUGUAGUAUGGAUAUUUUACCUACUUUAGUUUAUUUUUCUCUGCUGAUUUGAAUUUUAUGUUCAUCUUUGUCUAUGUCACGUGAUUUACAGACGUUCAACAUACUAUGUUUCUAUAUGCCUACUAGCUGGCUACUAGUUUUGAAUGCCUGUAACAAACUGAUCAUGCUUGCUAUUUUUUCCUGUUUCUUAAAUAUUUGAUAUGAUCAUCUGAAACCUUAUUUGCUUCAGUUUUUGAUGCAGUAGUUAGGAAAAUGAAAAUUGCUGCAUUUCUUUAGAUGCCUGUGUUUUCUACAAUAAUUCAUACAAUGGAUUUUUUUCAUACUGAAGUUUUCUUAAGAUAUGACAAGUGAUUAUUUCUUUAAGUAUCUCCUCUGCCCAUUAUUAAAUUGAUUAUUCAAAUCUCAUUUAAAACAAGAAACCAGAUGGCAAUAUUCCAGUAUUUGUUGCUACUAGCAACCACAAACCCCAAACUGAGAGAUUUUCCAUUUUUCACUGUGUAUAAAGGGAUCUCUUUAUUUUAUAUGCAAUAAAAGAAGCUACAGCCAACCACUUACAAAACAAGAUUGUUAUAUUAUUACUUUACAGAUAUUGUUCACUGACACUUUUACGGAUGUUGAUGAUCUCAUAAGAUGUACGAUCUAUUUCUAGGUUUGCUAACUUUGUUACCAAUUAACAUUUUUAGUUAGGAUAAUACUGUCAUGAAAGGAAGGCUUUUUCUUUGCUUUUACUUGCUCAGAGUGUGAGACCUUCAUUAACAAAAUUAUGACUAUUUGAAGAAACUAUGAGGAAAAAAUAAAAUUAAGAAAACCUUAAAAACUGUGAUUUGAGUAGAAGAAAUGUAUAUGUGUAUGGUAAGAGUGAAUUUGAAGGCAAUAUAAUGAUGUCAUUUG